CGGCAAACUUUUUCUGUAAAGAGCCAGAUUGUAAAUAUUUUAGGCUUUGAGGGACAAACGGGUCUCUGCUGCAAGCUACUCAACUCUGCUGUUGUAGCUCAAAAGCGACCACGGAUGAUACGAUGGGACUGCCUAGUUCCUGGAAAACAGGCUCAGCUCUCCCACUGAUUCUUCAUUCUGGAGGACACGAGUCAUUGGAUUUAGGACCUGCCCUCGUCCAGGAUGAUCUCAUCUAGAGAUCUUUACCUUCACCCUUUUCUUGUUUAGAAAAUAAAGUGCAGCUUGCUGCCAGUACUCAUUUUUUACAUAAACACGCUCUUUGAGGCUGAAGCAAGUCUGAUGGAUUUUCAAUGUGAAAAUAAAAUACAGAGACUGUUCUUGGAGUUAUUUCUACACAGAACUAACAUCAGAAUCGUCUAAAUCAUCAGAAUCAUCUGUUUCGGAAGAAUCGGAUUCAUCAAAUGUAUCUCUGGCCAAUAAUGGCUCAAGAACGAUGUUAACAUCACGUGUAGGAAUGCUGCAUUUUCUAGGAUGUGACAUUUUCAGCACUCGAGAGUUACUAUAGUUUUGUAAAUGGAAAUACCACUACUAAAACCAGAAUGCUGUAAAUGGA